rnacentral:rRNA from 1 species
AACGAGACCUUAACCUGCUAAAUAGCCAGGCUGGCUUUGGCUAGUCGCCGGCUUCUUAGAGGGACGGUCAGAAGCGAGCUGGCGGAAGGGGGAGGCAAGAAAAGGGCGGGGAGGCAAAAAGAUGUUCUGGGCCGCACGCGCGCUACACUGACAGAGCCAGCGAGUUAUUCACCUUGGGCGUAAGGUCUGGGUAAACUUGUGAAACUCU